rfam:Haloferax mediterranei ATCC 33500, complete genome.
CUGACGACCGCGUUCGGGUCAAUUGCGGAAUGCAACACCCGAUCUCCCUGUUCAUCCCUCCGGGGAUGGAUAUUGCAAAGGGGGAGCGCGUCGCUGUCAG